AGCCAGGGGACAUUGCCCUCACAACCAUAGGUGUCCUGUCACAGGGUGGGAAGAAGCUCUUCUGAAGUCUACAUUGCUUCCAGCUCAGGAGGGCAGCCAGCCCAGCUCUUGCAGUCAGGAGGGGCAGAGGUAUAACUAAAGCCAGAGGCUCAUAGGAUUAGAGGUGUGCUGGGAGGAAAGCUUCUGUUUGCUUCUAGUAUGUGACUCUUCCAAAUAAAGACUACUCAGUAAUCAAUCUCAGUAAGCAAAUGGGAAGAUUAUUCCAGUGUACGGUUAACUGAGUACAUUUCCCAGUACUGGAGGCAGGUUUAUCCUGGGUGCAGCCGGAGUUUCCUGCAUGCUGGGGGCCUCUUUCUGUACUGAUGCAAUGGAAGGUUUAGCAACCAAUACCACAGAACUGACCCCCAGAGAAUCUUCUUUUAUCAGAAAAUCCAUGUUUUGAGAGUCCUUGCUCAGUCCCAGCAAGCCAGGAAACUGCUGCAGAAGGGCCUAGGUAUUCAUCAUCACUCAUGACAAAUAACAGCCCACGGAAGCCACGCUUCUGUCUUUGUGUUCUAUCUGAGUCUCCGUGAUGGGCUGGGGCCUCACACCAGCCUGCGUAGCCCCUUGAGGCUGGCGAUUGUGCUUCUUCUGGAAAGUUAUGUAUUCAAAAGUUUUCAAAUUCAUUUUAAACCAUACAAACAAAAAAUUCUGAAUCUUAAAAAAUAUUCUGCUUGAAUAGCUGGGCCUGGUGGCACAGGCCUAUAAUCCCAGCACUUGUAAGAUGGCUGCAGGUGGACAGAUCUCGAGGCCAGACUGGAAUAUAAAGGGAAAUGAUGUUUCAUACAAUCAAAUCAGGAGCAGUGCUAUGUAGAAUCAGUUCUUUAGGAUGUUUGUAAUUAUACACAACAACUUCUGCUUUUUUCCUGAGACAGGAUUUCUCAGUGUAGUCCUGUAACUCACACUGUAUGUCCGGCUGGCUUCAAACUCAGAGAUCCACUUGUCUCUUUGUCCCAAGCCCUAGGAUAAAAGAUCUUCUAAGACCUUUGAGCUGUCACAAAUAAGAGAAUCAUGAAUGAAGGUAUAAGAGGAAAAUGCGAAAAGGUCAGAAGAUACCCAGCAUAGUUCAGUUGAUUUACAAAAGGAAUCAGAAAACUAGUUAUUUUUGUGAUCAUUUGAGAAAGCAACCAUGCAGCCUUAUGCAAUAUCAACAACGCAGCCAAUGCAAAUUAUGCCUGGACUACUUUCAAAAAUUAAACCUCCUGUUGUAACUGCCAGAACUCUGUCACAUCGUUUAAGUUGAUUGUGAUGGACCCUACAGAAAAGAAGGGCUGGCACAUAGACUUUGCUGAGUUCUUAAUGCUGGAAUAAAAAUUAUUUUUUCCCCAGUGUAUUGUUCCCCCGCACCAGCCCAGAACAGUUAAGUUUAGUCAAUACCAUUCACUGCAAUUGUCAUUAUCUUCCCCAAAGUGCUUUCUGGGUAACCUCAUUAUCUGCCAACAAAGUAUCACGGAGACAUACAGGCAGUGAAAGAGCUGCUAAUGAUGUAUCUAGCUUCACAGUGAGACACAGUCACUCUACAGAGUCACAGUGCCCAAGCAUUUCCUCUCCUUAAGGAGGAUGCUGGCCUCACACAGCUCUUGCAAAGGCAAAGGCGCUGAUUGUUGUCUGGAGACAGUGAAUUUUUUUUUAAAUUUCCAGCACUUGUAAAUUGCCUUGUUGUGAGCAGUCAUGUUAAGACAGGACACGCUUUAUUACAGUGAGCAAUUUCCUCAGUUUGUGCUUUCUAGCUAGUGAGAAACCACCCCAUUUCAAUUCCUGGAAAAGAACUGGAGAGAAGCUGAAGAUAAUCAUAGAGAAUCUAUGAUCACUUAGGCAGAAACUGCAGUCCCAAGAGAAGCCUAUUUGGUUGGAUUAUCUUUCUUAAGUAGCUGCUAGAGACAUCUGCUUUAUUCAACUUGUUCCCUAUCACUGAGUAAAAUUAAUGUGGACUAGAUAGCUGCGCUAUCGGGCAUGGCCUUCCCCUGGUAUUUAGAACUAUUUUUCCUAAGAAGCAUAAUGAUAUAUGGAAUAAGGAAAAAAUUUGAUCUUGAGGGUGGUUUUUAGUUUAAAAGAGUUGCAUAUUCUUGGCUAAGCCUUGGGACACCCACCUUUGUGCAUUUUCUUGGCUCAGUUUUGAUCACAUUCCUUAGGCUUUCUACUCCCCAUUCUCAGCAAUUAAAUGUUGAAGUGCCUUGCUGUGUUAUCGGGGUUGCAAGUUCAACUGUCUGAUGUAUGACUCACUUCGGGUGCCCUUCCUUUUUUUUUUUUUUUUCCCUACAAAAGAGAGCCAUUUGUUAUACAUCCAGAGCCCAGAAGUCUUUAUUACUCUUUGACUGCUGAAGGAUAAUUCUCUUCUUGCUAGGGAGAAAGCAGCAAAUCAAAAGAGGAUUUCAUCCAAGAAAGCACAUCCAAUAUGAAAGUAAUUGCUAGGAGUUCAAGGUCACUGUGUGUAUUGGAACAAAAGAGGGAUAAGAUCUAUUACUUUGAUUUGCUACUCCAUUUGAAUGCUCCAAUUUACUAGACUGCACCUUACAGUAAACAAAAUGGAUUAAUACUUGUUUAUCAUAGGCAGGGGGUUUCUGACUAAUUUGCUUUUCUGUUUAAUUUCUACUCAUUUGCUGACUACUGCUCAAAUUCCACUUAUUUGAUGCUUCCUGUAUGCCAGACACUCUUAGGAAUCAUCAAAUUCAUCACCAUAUAUACAAGGACUACUUUAUUAUACAUCCUGGAAGAUAGAAGCAUCACAUGUGACCCUUAAGGCUAAGGACCUCGUUGGAGAUGUGAGACACAGCAUAAAAAUAGUUUUUUAAUGGGUGCCCCAAUACCAACUCCAUGAGCAUGGGGUCUGAUAAAACCAAGCCUUGAAGGAAGGGAGUCCCUAAGGAGAGUAAGUGUGGGUAUGGUAUAUAAAAAUCAUGUGCUAGAUGAGCACUGGUAGCCAUGCUAGGUUAAGUUGAUUGAUUCCUGAGUAUCCUCCUAUGCGCCAGUUUCUCUUUUGCUGAUGUGGAGAUAAAGAUAGUGAUGAGCACAUAGCACUGUGUGAGUGGACAUGAGCAGAUCACUCAGAGACACUAAGGCAGGAAAGCAUGCCAGUCAUUGUUAUUUUAUAGUACGAGGAUUAUAAGAGGCCAGGAUCUGACAUGUGAGCCUGAUCAUGCCAGAAACAUGGCACCA
rnacentral:lncRNA from 1 species